UGAGUACGAGCUGCUACGGCAGCGAAGUGGGUGAUGUCAAGCUUCCAAGAAAAGCCCUAUACCCGCUAAGGCAUGACGGCCUGUACCCGAAACCGACACAGGUGGGGUGGUAGAGAAUACCGAGGGGCGCGAGAUAACUCUCUCUAAGGAACUCGGCAAAAUGGCCCCGUAACUUCGGGAGAAGGGGUGCCACCGCAAGGUGGUCGCAGUGAAGAGGCCCAGGCGACUGUUUACCAAAAACACAGGUCUCCGCUAAGUCGUAAGACGAUGUAUGGGGGCUGACGCCUGCCAGUGCCGGAAGGUUAAGGAAGCUGGUCAGCGCAAGCGAAGCUGGCGACUGAAGCCCCGGUGAACGGCGGCCGUAACUAUAACGGUCCUAAGGUAGCGAAAUUCCUUGUCGGGUAAGUUCCGACCCGCACGAAAGGCGUAACGAUCUGGGCGCUGUCUCGGAGAGAGGCUCGGCGAAAUAGAAUUGUCUGUGAAGAUGCGGACUACGUGCACCCGGACAGAAAGACCCUAUGAAGCUUUACUGUAGCUUGGUAUUGUGCCCGGGCUCUGAAUGCGCAGGAUAGGUGGGAGGCUUUGAUCCAUUGCUUGUGGGUGAUGGUGAGCCACUGGUGAGAUACCACUCUUUCAGAGCUAGGGUUCUAACGGUCACCCGUUAUCCGGGGACUGGACAGUAUCAGGUGGGCAGUUUGACUGGGGCGGUCGCCUCCUAAAAGGUAACGGAGGCGCGCAAAGGUUCCCUCAGGCUGGUUGGAAAUCAGCCGACGAGUGUAAAGGCAGAAGGGAGCUUGACUGUGAGACCUACAAGUCGAACAGGGACGAAAGUCGGCCUUAGUGAUCCGACGGUUCUGAGUGGAAGGGCCGUCGCUCAACGGAUAAAAGUUACUCUAAGGAUAACAGGCUGAUCUCCCCCAAGAGUUCACAUCGACGGGGAGGUUUGGCACCUCGAUGUCGGCUCAUCGCAACCUGGGGCUGAAGUCGGUCCCAAGGGUUGGGCUGUUCGCCCAUUAAAGCGGUACGCGAGCUGGGUUCAGGACGUCGUGAGACAGUUCGGUCCAUAUCCGGUGCACGCGCAGGAACAUUGAGAGGAUUUCUCCCUAGUACGAGAGGACCGGGAGGAACGCACCUCUGGUGUACCAGUUAUCGUGCCAACGGUAAACGCUGGGUAGCCAUGUGCGGAGCGGAUAACCGCUGAAAGCAUCUAAGUGGGAAGCCCACCUCAAGAUGAGUGUUCCCAUGGCAAAAGCCAGUAAGGUCACGGGCAGAACACCCGUUGAUAGGCUCUACGUGGAAGCGUGGCAACACGUGAAGC
rnacentral:rRNA from 1 species